AUCUCUCCAGCCCCUGGAUUUUAAUUUGCUAGAUCACGGCUUUCUUUCCGUUAGAGCUUUGUAAGAGCUGUGUGUGCAGAACAGGGCACUUCUUGGGGCAUUGUGCAUGAGGAUUUGCAAUAGGAAGCUUUCAGAAGUGAGACUGAGGUCCAGAAAACCUUUUGCUCUUAGAGGAUUUGACAUGGAACUAAUAUUUACUAAGUGGGAAAAGUAAUACAGGUUUCCUUUUCAGAAAUAAAAUUGCAGCCCUAUCUUUGGGAUAUGUCUUGUCUAUGCAAAAUGUUUAAAAAAUAUAUACUAUAUAAGGAUGCUUUUAAAACUUUCUGUAUGGAACUGUAAGUGAUCUGAAUUGAUAACAAAGGGUUGAAUGAAACUAGUAGAAAGGGAAAGCAUAUUUGAUUUGCUGGCAUUAAAACAGUAUUUAUAUGUGGUGCUGGUGAGAAGGCUCAGUUAGUAAAGUGCUUACCGGUAGUUUGAGUGUGAGGGCAUGAGUUUAUUGGCUCUCCUAUAAUGUCAGUGCUGGAGAGGAUAGACAAAAGGACCUCUGAGUCCUGGUGGCCAGCCAGUACAGGGGAGUCAGUGAAUCUGAGGGUCAGUGGGAGACUGUCUGAGAAAAUAAGGAGUUAAGUAAUUGCAAAGGACAUCCAACAAUGGCCUCUGGCUGUCACACACAUGCAUAUGCAUAUACACCUAUAUGCCUGUUUCCCCCUUGCCAUGCACACGCAUGAACACUUACAUACACGUAUAAAAGUGUAUAACUAUAUAAAAUCUCUUGCGCUGGUCCAGUGAUAGAGUAGUUGAUUCUCACUAGGCUCAAUCCCCAGAGCUGAAAAAUCUCAGUAUUUCCCUGCUCCUUCACCUUUCCCUUCCACUCCCUUCCCUCUGUCUCUGUCUUCUUUCAAGUGUGCAUAGAGAUUCCAAUUAACUAUGUAAGUAAUAUAGUAAGUCCCUUUUAUUUUCAUCACAAAUUAUCAUGUUGUAGCAUUCAUAUUAAUGAUAUUGUACUAUAUUAAUGAAAUAAAUUCAUUGCCAACAAAUAUAGGAUUUUAAGUGUUACUUUAGGGGCUGGGGACAUAUCUCAGUUGGUAGAAUACUUGUAUACCAUCCACACAAGCCCCAGAGUUUAAUUCUCAGCACUGAAUAGAGCAAGCAUAGAGGGGUGUGUAUGUAAUCUCAGCCCCAGGAGACAUAGGCAAGAGGGCUGGAAGGUCAAAGUCAUCUCUGCUUGCAAAGCAAAUUGAGGGUCAGCCUGGGCUACAUGAAACCCUGCUC
rnacentral:lncRNA from 1 species